GACAGAGGUCCCAAGCGUUAGGCGGAAUCACUGGGCUUAAAGCGUGUGUAGGCGGACUUGUAAGUACCUUGUGAAAUCCCACGGCUCAACCGUGGAACUGCUGGGUAUACUGCGAGUCUUGAGCCACCUAGGGGCGAGCGGAACAAGUGGUGGAGCGGUGAAAUGCGCAGAUAUCAGGAGGAACACCGGUGGCGAAGGCGGGUCUCUGGGCCGAUACUGACGCUGAGGAGCGAAAGCGUGGGGAGCGAACAGG
rnacentral:rRNA from 1 species